rnacentral:lncRNA from 1 species
UGGAGCAGGCAUUUUCGCAAUUCGGCGAAGUCAUUGAAUCAAAGGUCUGUUUGUCGCGGAGAUCUGAUACGACCCGUUGUUUCUCUCUGAUCUGUUAACCUUGUUACUCUGUUACUACUGUUACUCUGUUACCACUGUUACUGUUUCUGUUACUGUUACUCUUUUACCUCACCCCUGAUACGGUACGUUCCGUCUUCCUCUUUCUCACAAAAAGGGUCGAAGAUUGAAUUGUCGCUAUUCAGCUUUUUUUUUUUAUUUUUUUUAUUUUGGUAAAUGAAAAUUCCAGAUCUGGAUUGAAUAUUUGCUAGAUCUGAUUUUUUUUUUUGAUUGUGAUUUUUUGGUUCGGGAAUAUUAUUAACGAUCGCGAGACUUGAAGAUCCUGGGGUUUCGGAUUCGUUAC